GCGGCAAUAGCUGAGUGGGUAAAGCGCCAGGUGAGAAGACGACUCUGAAUCAGCGCGGGUUCGAAUCCCGUCUGUGGCA